UCCUAUCUGCUUCUAGUCUGCCCUGGAAUA
rnacentral:piRNA from 1 species